CGUCCAGAUUGCGACUUGGCCGGGUCCAAAACGUGGAUCAUCCACUAAGCCCAAGACGUUGAGGCCAUGCAGCUGGAGAAAAAUAAAGUGCCAAAGGGCACACAUGGCACCGAGUUUCUUGGCUUUUGUGGCUUUUGUUUUUAGCCAUAAACAGGCUGUUUGUAGCGCCCAACUGUGGCAAUAAGUUCAAAUGCCAGCCCAGAGACCCGGCGACUAAAUGCACGGCUUAAUGUGCAACCGAGGCUGACAGGCAGGAAAACUCAGGCCGGCAAGACUCGGGCUAAAAAGUGAGGCUCCAAGCCAGGCUCUCAACCUCAAGAGUCAAGCUCAGGCGGACAAAGGUUCCUGCGCUGUGGCAGUGCCAGUGCCAAAAUAAAAAGUGGGUGUAGCGGCACCAAAUGCCAUUGCCAACUUUUGGUCCACAAGCAACGCCAACGCAUCUCGUGAGCAUCCGAUCCUCGCCAGCACCACCUUCGCAUCCAGCAUCUGCAGUGCUGAUUUCUCCUAAUUUGAUUAAACAGAUUGAGUUUAA
rnacentral:sRNA from 1 species